UACGUAGGGGGCAAGCGUUGUCCGGAAUCAUUGGGCGUAAAGAGCGUGUAGGCGGCCCGGUAAGUCCGCUGUGAAAGUCCAGGGCUCAACCCUGGGAUGCCGGUGGAUACUGUCGGGCUCGAGUCCGGAAGAGGAGAGUGGAAUUCCUGGUGUAGCGGUGAAAUGCGCAGAUAUCAGGAAGAACACCCGUGGCGAAGGCGGCUCGCUGGGACGUAACUGACGCUGAGACGCGAAAGCGUGGGGAGCAAACAGG
rnacentral:rRNA from 1 species